rnacentral:rRNA from 1 species
AGAGUUUGAUCCUGGCUCAGAUUGAACGCUGGCGGCAUGCCUAACACAUGCAAGUCGAACGGCAGCACAGUAAAGACUUCGGUUUUUAUGGGUGGCGAGUGGCGGACGGGUGAGUAAUGCAUAGGAAUCUGUCCUGGAGCGUGGGAUAACCCGAGGAAACUCGGGCUAAUACCACAUGAUAUCGAGAGAUCAAAAGCAGGGGACCGAAAGGCCUUGCGCUCUGGGGUGAGCCUACGUCGGAUUAGCUAGUUGGUGGGGUAAGAGCCUACCAAGGCGACGAUCCGUAGCUGGUCUGAGAGGAUGACCAGCCACACUGGGACUGAGACACGGCCCAGACUCCUACGGGAGGCAGCAGUGGGGAAUCUUGGACAAUGGGGGCAACCCUGAUCCAGCGAUGCCGCGUGUGUGAAGAAGGCCUUCGGGUUGUAAAGCACUUUAGGUGGGGAAGAAAGGUAACGAGCGAAUAACUCGUUGCUAUGACGGUACCCGCAGAAUAAGCACCGGCUAACUCUGUGCCAGCAGCCGCGGUAAU